rnacentral:rRNA from 1 species
ACGGAAGGCAGCAGUGAGGAAUAUUGGUCAAUGGACGCAAGUCUGAACCAGCCAUGCCGCGUGCAGGAAUAAGGCCCUAUGGGUCGUAAACUGCUUUUGUGGUGGAGCAAUAAGUCGUACGUGUACGGCGAUGAGAGUACAUCACGAAUAAGCAUCGGCUAACUCCGUGCCAGCAGCCGCGGUAAUACGGAGGAUGCAAGCGUUAUCCGGAUUUAUUGGGUUUAAAGGGUGCGUAGGCUGUGGUCCAAGUCAGGGGUGAAAGCCCGGAGCUCAACUCCGGAACUGCCUUUGAUACUGUCCGGCUUGAAUACUGUUGCCGUGGGAGGAAUGAGUAGUGUAGCGGUGAAAUGCAUAGAUAUUACUCAGAACACCGAUUGCGAAGGCAUCUCACGAAGCAGCGAUUGACGCUGAGGCACGAAAGCGUGGGGAUCAAACAGGAUUAGAUACCCUGGUA